AGCUCUUGUAAAAUUGGGAAGGUCGAAAACCCUAAAAAUUGUGAAGGUGUUAUGUUUUGUUCCACAGAAGAGGAAGAAGAAGGAAUGUCGAAGAAAAUGGUCACAAGGAGAGAGCUGUUGGACCGAUGGAGGGGCAUCGAAGAAGAAGACGAGGAUGACGACAUUGCAUCUGUAGACCCUCUCAAGCGACAUCGUUUCCGGCAGCUCAAAGAAGAAUGGUUUUCAGACGCAUUCAACCACUUGAUUUUUAUGCCCCAUGAAAAUCAUAUUUGGUGUGGUUCAUGGGAACUCAUGGG
rnacentral:misc_RNA from 1 species